CUCGUGUUGAUCAGCUACAAGCCGGGUUUUUGCAUCUACUAUCACGGAGAUCUACAGAACACGUCGGAUUUUUUUUGCAACUAAUACGGAGAUCUACAACGAAGCUACAGCGAGAAUCCCAAGGUACAAUCGUUAAUUAAGUUGAAACAAUCUUUUAAGUCGUUUCGUGUUCCUUCUAUUCCACACGAAGCCUAUGUUCUUAUUCUGCGCUUGCAUGUUCAAAAUAUGCUGAAACAACCAUGAAUAGCCAUCGAACUGAAGAUCCUAAAACACCCUACCAACAACUUCCACUCCAUCAACUUCCACUUUGCCCAGCUCAGUUGAAGUUAGUC
rnacentral:lncRNA from 1 species